rnacentral:rRNA from 1 species
UACGUAGGGGGCAAGCGUUGUCCGGAAUUAUUGGGCGUAAAGAGCGCGUAGGCGGUCCGAUAAGUCGGCUGUGAAAGUCAGGGGCUCAACCCUUGAAAGCCGGCCCGAUACUGUCGGACUAGAGUCCGGAAGAGGCGAGUGGAAUUUCCGGUGGAGCGGUGAAAUGCGUAGAGAUCGGAAAGAACACCAACGGCGAAAGCACUCUGCUGGGCCGACACUGACACUGAGAGACGAAAGCUAGGGGGAGCGAAAUGGG